GGCAAUCCGACGAGCCGUUACAAAGUUAUUAAAGAAAUGGACGUUUAGGCUUCGGGUCCGCCGGGAGGGCCGAGGCGACGUCGUAAAAUCAUGGAAAUGGAUUUGAGGCAUCGUGGCACAUAACCGAAGACCUAUAAUUUUCGGGGCUACGAAGCGGAGCACAGUUGAGGCGCAGUUGCAGUAUCGGGCCGUGCCGGAUACGGGUGCCGCGGGAGGCCGAUUGCAAGUGUCGACAAGCAAUCGGAACGCAAAUUAAGGUGGGUUGGUUUACCGAAGCGACUAGGUCGCCUUUAUGUCUAAGAAAAUAUGAUUUCUUAUGAUGCAUAUAGAAAUGAAUGAUAAUGAAUGCAAGCUGAUAAAUGCAUGUUGAUAAAUGCUAGAGAGCAUGCGAAAUAAAGUAUAAAUGCUAAGUUGAUGCAUGUAAAUGAUAUAGAGAUUAUAAAAUGCAUGUUGGUAAAUAAUAUAAAUGAUGCAUGUUAACGAUAGUGCUUAGAGCAAGAUGCUAAGUAGAAAGCAUGAUGUUGAUAACAUGAUACAAACGCCAAGUAGAAUGCAUGAGAUAAGAAUGCUAGAGUAUAAUGAUAAGCAUGAUAUGGAAAUAGUAAAUACAAGUACAUGUUAAGAAUGCUAAGUAAUGCAUAGUGACAUAGUGUAAAUCAUGCUAAGUGACAAGCAUAAAGUAUAUAAUACGUGGUGGCCGUGUUGCAUGCAUAGAAAGGUUAAUGUAAGAAUGCUAAAGAUAAUGUAUGAAUGCAUGUUGCAUGUUAAAGAAUGCCCAGUAAAGGACUUGUGUAUAUGGACUUAAGUGCACCUAUAGAUCGAGUAGCAUUGAAUCUAGUGUCGAGGACAUAGGUUAAACAGAUGUGAUUUGAACCUAAUGUAAAGAACAUAGGUUAAAUAAGAAUGAUGUUAAACCUAAUGUAGAGAACACAGGUCGUGAAAUGAAAGGUGCUUAACCUAGAGUCAAGUGAACCUAGGUUGGAAAGAAUGAUGAUCCUAGUGUAAUAAACCUAGGUUAAGAAUGUGAAAGCAAUAAACCUAAAGUAUUAACUUAGGUUGUGUAAUGGACAAAGAACCUAGAGUCAAGUAGACCUAGGAUGUAAAGGACAAUGGACCUAAGUAGGUCGAUACCAUAGGGUUGUGACUAACCCUCGAGUUACGUGAAAUGGAUUCCGGAAUCCCAAAGCUUGUUGAUAUACCUAGAGUGGUAUCGGGUGUGUGCGACGAUUUCGCCGCCCAAGGGCUAAAGAACCAUUGUCGUGGCGUGUGCGACGAUUUCGCCGCCGGAUGGUUAGCCAGUUUGUGGAUCCUACCACCUGUUGACUGAACCACUGUCGUGGCGUUUGUGCGACGAUUUCGCCGCCGGGUGGCUAAGUCAUGGACCUAGGCCGUUGUUGGGUGAGGUGCGAUUCGUUCGCCGCCAGACGGCUAGGACAGGAGUACGGUGAGCUGUUGCCAGCUGAGGUGCAUGUGAGAGUUCCUUCACCUCGAGCUAGACAGUGCGCGGACUAUCCGCGAUUGAUUGACUCAAGACCGAGUCGGGUGGCAUAGAGAACUAAGGUAAGGGAAACCUUAGGAAAGAAUGGCCAGUGGAAAAGUGCAACAAAGUGUAGAGAAUAAAGAAUAAGUAAAGAAUAAAGAUCGGCUAAGGAAUAAGAAUAGCUGAUAAAGUAAAGAAAGGUUACAAGUAAAGAAUAGCUAAGAGCUAAAAGUAAACAUUAAACGACAAGAGUAAAGAAUGAUUAAGAAUAUAAUUAGCGUUAAAGUAACCUACUUGCAUGAUUACGGGUAUUGCAUAUUGCAUUUCGUGAGGCAUGG
rnacentral:lncRNA from 1 species